UUGCUAGCAUAGCUAACAUCCGGGGAUUGACUGAUGGUAAAGAAACAGGAAGUCAAAGAACUAUCAAACUAGUGUAACCUGGAAAAAAACAAAAAUGACCGCGUGUUAAACUCACGUUAAAUCACAGUGCAACACGGAAGAAAACAACUCUUAAAAAAUACGUUUAAAAGUGAAAAUUAUCCAUUAAACAUUUCUUGACUUCUAUCAAUGAAUGAGGACACUUUGUCAAUGAGGUAACCCGCAAGUCGACGACGGCGCCUCGCCAAACAAGUUCAAACUGCUCGGAAACGUCGACAGCCACAUACUCUUCUACCGGAGAAAUACUUCAAAAUCCCUUUUUGUGUGGGAUACCCGAUGCUUCCCAUGAGCCUCACCCAGAUUCCUCUCUGCGGCGGCCCGCAGGGCCGCAAGGGUAUGCUGGAGCCUAUCCCAGCAGACAUCUGGCGCAUAUAGACAAACAACCAUUCACACUCAUACACAUUCAUACCUAUG